ACCCUUUAAUGUUUGAUGUUCUAACGUGGACCCGUGAUCCGGGUUGCGGACAGUGUCUGGUGGGUAGUUUGACUGGGGCGGUCUCCUCCUAAAGAGUAACGGAGGAGCACGAAGGUUGGCUAAUCCUGGUCGGACAUCAGGAGGUUAGUGCAAUGGCAUAAGCCAGCUUGACUGCGAGCGUGACGGCGCGAGCAGGUGCGAAAGCAGGUCAUAGUGAUCCGGUGGUUCUGAAUGGAAGGGCCAUCGCUCAACGGAUAAAAGGUACUCCGGGGAUAACAGGCUGAUACCGCCCAAGAGUUCAUAUCGACGGCGGUGUUUGGCACCUCGAUGUCGGCUCAUCACAUCCUGGGGCUGAAGUAGGUCCCAAGGGUAUGGCUGUUCGCCAUUUAAAGUGGUACGCGAGCUGGGUUUAGAACGUCGUGAGACAGUUCGGUCCCUAUCUGCCGUGGGCGCUGGAGAACUGAGGGGGGCUGCUCCUAGUACGAGAGGACCGGAGUGGACGCAUCACUGGUGUUCGGGUUGUCAUGCCAAUGGCACUGCCCGGUAGCUAAAUGCGGAAGAGAUAAGUGCUGAAAGCAUCUAAGCACGAAACUUGCCCCGAGAUG
rnacentral:rRNA from 1 species